AUUUAAAUUAAAAAAAAUAAAAAGGUGAACUUGUUUUAUAGUCAGUGACACAAAUUUCUUUGUUUUUUUUUCUUCCUUAUGCAUCCCUUAGGCAUCCCAAGAACCAUACCUUCUCUUCUUCUGAUUGGUAGAUUAUCCAGUCUUUCCCUUCCUAGGUGAAGAACAUGUCUUCAAUUCAGCAUUUGAAGCCAUUUCCUUCUUGCCCACUUACCUGGAAUUAAUUUCCUUUGCCUGAAUGACAUUUGGCUGGACGUUUGCACACCUGCAGGGUCUUAUGCUAUAUAAGAAAGGAAGUUACUAUUCCAAGAGAAGGAAAAUGAAAUUCUCAAAAUUCAAUAACAGAAAAAGCCCCACAAUAAAAUGAAUAAAGAACAUCUUCACAUGGUCACUAAUUAUACUUUUCUUGCAUUUAUUCAUCAAACGAACAUUUCUUUUUCAAAAUUCUAUUUUUUCUAAUUGUAUAUAAAAGCAUUUAAAAAAAUUGAGUUUCAAAUUACCAGCCCCUCUUCUUCCUCUCUCCUCUCCUUAAGAAGACAAGCAAUUUGAUACAGAUUAUAUAUGUUCAAUCAUGUUAUACAUAUCCUCAUAUUAAUCAUGUUGUGAAGGAAAACAG
rnacentral:lncRNA from 1 species